UACAUUUCGAACUCUUUUGUUGACUAUGAUGGCUACUCCAUUUAUUCUAAGGGAUUCCUGCCCACAGUUAUAGAUAUAAUCAUUACAAUAACUUCAGAUAAUUAAAGUACACAUGAAGUACUACAGGUACACACAAGAGGGAGCAGAGACAACCCUCUGGGCUACAGAGGUGUCAAGGAAGCAUCCUACCGGAGAUGACACGUGAACUGUUACGAACAGGUAAUGCGGAAACUCACCAAGUAAAGGAGAUGGAGAAGAUGUAACAGGAAGCCUCAAAAUGUAACACAGAGUGUGUACCUAGUCGCUCAGUCAUGUCCGACUCUGCAAUCCCAUGGACUCUAGCCUGCCAGGCUCCUUCGUCCAUGGGAUUUUUCAGGCGAGAAUACUGGAGUGGGUUGCCAUUUCCUUCUCCAGGGGAUCUUCCUGACCCAAGGAUGGAACCUGAGUCUCCUGUGUCUCCUAUAUUGCAGGUGGAUUCUUUACCCACUGAGCCACUGGGGAAGCCCCAAAGCACUGAGAGGUAGUGACAAAACUCAGCGUGGAUAAAAUGGUAAAAGAGUAGGGAAGACAAGGCUGGAAAUGCAGGAGCCAGGCAAUGGACCGCCAGGGAUGUGAAGCAGGAAGCUGACAGGCUCAGAUUUAUGUUUUGGUUAAAAAAUUAAAAAAUUUUUAAAACGUGUUUACUUCAGCUUAGAGGAUUAAGAAAAAGGGGCAAAGAGGAAAACUAGAACAAUCCAAAAAAGGACUGAUCAGGUGACAGAUGAAGUUCUAAUGACAAGGGAGAUGACACAUGAUGUCCUGGAAGUCAGGAGACCUGGGAUGGGUAAAGCUCAUUCGUUUCUCUCUUCUUUCCAUGGUUACUGAUAAUCAACAAUGUGACGACAAGCUUACACUGGAUGCUGGAGAAACCAAGACGAUGUGGCCCAGUUCUUACACAUCAAGAGCUAACAUCCUCAUAGGAAAGAAGAGGUGAGGCAACUGGCCAGGCAGACAGAAGCAUCUUAAUACCCUGAACACAAGAACUGAUUCGGGGAGAGAGAGACGCCUCUAGCCAGGACAACAAGAUCACGCCUGGGGGAAUCAGAACCAGGAAAGAAGACAUCACCACCUUCUUCUGAGAUCCUAUGGGCUUAAGACCACACACUCCCAGGGCUGUCAGAGCCCUUUUAUACCAUCAGGGGAGUGCCUAUCUAGCAUGAAGUCACCAGAGAAAAGCUAAGCCAAGAAACAAGGAAAGAGAGUGAUCCAAUGACAUCUUUCGAGAAACUGGAUUCGGCUGUGUGCUUAUCCUUGACAUCUAAGUUGUCAGUCAAUAAAUUCCCUUCUCUGCCAAAA